rnacentral:rRNA from 1 species
AUGGUGGAUUCACAAUCCACUGCCUUGAUCCACUUGGCUACAUCCGCCCCUUAUCCAGCUAAAGGAUUUUUUUCUUUUUUCCAUUGAUCAUUAUUCUAUUUAUUCUGA